AACAGGAUUAGAUACCCUGGUAGUCCACGCCGUAACCGAUGAGUGCUAAGUGUUAGGGGGUUUCCGCCCCUUAGUGCUGCAGCUAACGCAUUAAGCACUCCGCCUGGGGAGUACGGCCGCAAGGCUGAAACUCAAAGGAAUUGACGGGGGCCCGCACAAGCGGUGGAGCAUGUGGUUUAAUUCGAAGCAACGCGAAGAACCUUACCAGGUCUUGACAUCUCCUGACCGCCCUGGAGACAGGGUCUUCCCUUCGGGGACAGGAUGACAGGUGGUGCAUGGUUGUCGUCAGCUCGUGUCGUGAGAUGUUGGGUUAAGUCCCGCAACGAGCGCAACCCUUGUCCUUAGUUGCCAGCAUUCAGUUGGGCACUCUAAGGAGACUGCCGGCUAAAAGUCGGAGGAAGGUGGGGAUGACGUCAAAUCAUCAUGCCCCUUAUGACCUGGGCUACACACGUGCUACAAUGGGCGGUACAGAGGGCAGCGAACCCGCGAGGGGGAGCCAAUCCCAAAAAGCCGCUCUCAGUUCGGAUUGCAGGCUGCAACUCGCCUGCAUGAAGCCGGAAUCGCUAGUAAUCGCGGAUCAGCAUGCCGCGGUGAAUACGCUCCCGGGCCUUGUACACACCGCCCGUCACACCACGAGAGUUUGCAACACCCGAAGUCGGUGAGGUAACCGCAAGGAGCCAGCCGCCGAAGGUGGGGCAGAUGAUUGGGGUGAAGUCGUAACAAGGUAACC
rnacentral:rRNA from 1 species